AGUACUCUGAAAAAUGUCUCUCCUCCUCCAGUCCUUUCCAUAAUCCUUACUUAAUUUGCCAGCACUUUGUUUCGCUGAUGCGGAGGAAAUCGCAGCGGUGAAUUCGCCCACCAACAAAUGUGUGAAAGGAUACAAGUUCUUCCACGAAGAAUAUAUCCACAGCUAUCAAGAUAUCACUGGGUGUUGGAAAAGAAAAGGCUGAAUUAUUGGAUUAUUCCUGUGGCUGUGCAGCUGGUAAAGGUUUUUGCAAUUAUGUACUUGCACUUCUUUACCAGACUGCACACUACUCCCAACUCCAGCUGCCAACUGUUCUUCCUGCACUGGCCUGCACAAGUGAUUUACAAAGAUGGCACAGACCAAGAACACAAAUAAGAAAAAAAGAGUGGAACACAUUGUCCUGUGGGGAUACAUCCUGAGCCUGUCAGCAACGUGGUGGUGCGGAAACUAUGGGGAAAUAUCUCCACUCCACAAUUUACAGAGCUUACACAGGACCACUUCCAGAUCCUGACAUUCUGGCAUCAGGAGAAAAACUACACCAGCUGGAGUACCAACCACUUAUGGCUCUUGUACUAGAUGGUCU